AUGCUUGCUUCGGCAGCACGUAUACUAAAUUUGGAACGAUACAGAGAACAUUAGCAUGGCCCCUGCACAAAGCUCACUUUCUGCUAUGUUUCUCCAACUCUG